CUGCUCACUUCGGCAGCACAUAUACUAAAAUUGGUACAAUACAGAGAAGAUUAGCAUGGCCCCUGCACAAGGAUGACACACAAAUUCGUGAAGCAUUCCAUAUUUUU
ensembl:snRNA U6 U6 spliceosomal RNA